rnacentral:rRNA from 1 species
ACGGCGAGUGAAGCGGCAACAGCUCAAAUUUGAAAUCUGGCGCAAGCCCGAGUUGUAAUUUGUAGAGGAUGCUUCUGGGCAGCGGCCGGUCUAAGUUCCUUGGAACAGGACGUCAUAGAGGGUGAGAAUCCCGUAUGCGACCGGCUUGCACCCGUCACGUAGCUCCUUCGACGAGUCGAGUUGUUUGGGAAUGCAGCUCUAAAUGGGAGGUAAAUUUCUUCUAAGGCUAAAUACCGGCCAGAGACCGAUAGCGCACAAGUAGAGUGAUCGAAAGAUGAAAAGCACUUUGGAAAGAGAGUUAAAAAGCACGUGAAAUUGUUGAAAGGGAAGCUCACGCAACCAGACUUGUCGGCGGUGUUCCGCCGGUCUUCUGACCGGUCUAUUCGCCGCCGGCAGGCCAGCAUCACUUGGGAGCGCCGGAAAAAGGCGUGCGGAAUGUAGCCCCUCGGGGCAUUAUAGCCGCGCGCACAAUACGGCGCCUCCCGAGUGAGGUCCGCGCUUCGGCUAGGAUGCUGGCGUAA